UACGUAGGGUGCGAGCGUUAAUCGGAAUUACUGGGCGUAAAGCGUGCGCAGGCGGUUUUGUAAGCCAGUUGUGAAAUCCCCGGGCUUAACCUGGGAAUGGCAUUUGGGACUGCAAGGCUGGAGUGCGGCAGAGGAGACUGGAAUUCCUGGUGUAGCAGUGAAAUGCGUAGAUAUCAGGAGGAAUACCGAUGGCGAAGGCAGGUCUCUGGGCUGACACUGACGCUCAUGCACGAAAGCGUGGGGAGCAAACAGG
rnacentral:rRNA from 1 species